rnacentral:snRNA from 1 species
AAGCACAGCGAUCACGACUGAACGCAUCAAUCUUUCGCCUUUUACUAAAGACUGCAGUGUCGUUUCAGCAAAUAAUGCGCCUCAUACAUCAA